UACGGGGAGGUGCAAGCGUUGUUCGGAUUUACUGGGCGUAAAGGGCGCGUAGGCGGCCACCGCAAGUCGACUGUGAAAUCUCCGGGCUUAACCCGGAAAGGUCAGCCGAUACUGCGGGGCUAGAGUGCAGAAGGGGCAACUGGAAUUCUCGGUGUAGCGGUGAAAUGCGUAGAUAUCGAGAGGAACACCUGCGGCGAAGGCGGGUUGCUGGGCUGACACUGACGCUGAGGCGCGAAAGCUAGGGGAGCGAACGGG
rnacentral:rRNA from 1 species